rnacentral:rRNA from 1 species
UACGGAGGGGGCGAGCGUUAUUCGGAAUUAUUGGGCGUAAAGGGCGCGUAGGCGGCCCGGUAAGUCAAAGGUGAAAUCCCUCGGCUCAACUGAGGAACUGCCUUUGAAACUGUCGGGCUUGAGGCCGGGAGGGGGUAGCGGAAUUCCCAGUGUAGCGGUGAAAUGCGUAGAUAUCUGGAGGAACACCGGUGGCGAAGGCGGCAUCCUGGACCGAGAUUGACGCUGAGGCGCGAAAGCCAGGGGAGCAAACGGG